GCCCUGAUGGUCUAGCGGUAUGAUUCUCCCUUAGGGUUGCGCAUAACAUCUCUGUUUGGGAGAGGUCCCAGGUUCGAUCCCUGGUUAGGGCC
rnacentral:tRNA from 1 species